rnacentral:rRNA from 1 species
UACGUAGGGGGCUAGCGUUGCUCGGAAUUACUGGGCGUAAAGGGCGCGUAGGCGGAUACUUAAGUCUGGGGUGAAAGCCCAGGGCUCAACCCUGGAAUAGCCUUCGAUACUGGGUAUCUUGAGUUCGGGAGAGGUGAGUGGAACUCCGAGUGUAGAGGUGAAAUUCGUAGAUAUUCGGAAGAACACCAGUGGCGAAGGCGACUCACUGGCCCGAUACUGACGCUGAGGCGCGAAAGCGUGGGGAGCAAACAGG